rnacentral:rRNA from 1 species
AUUGAACGCUGGCGGCAGGCCUAACACAUGCAAGUCGAACGGUAACAGGAAGCAGCUUGCUGCUUUGCUGACGAGUGGCGGACGGGUGAGUAAUGUCUGGGAAACUGCCUGAUGGAGGGGGAUAACUACUGGAAACGGUAGCUAAUACCGCAUAAUGUCGCAAGCCCAAAGAGGGGGACCUUCGGGCCUCUUGCCAUCGGAUGUGCCCAGAUGGGAUUAGCUAGUAGGUGGGGUAAAGGCUCACCUAGGCGACGAUCCCUAGCUGGUCUGAGAGGAUGACCGGCCACACUGGAACUGAGACACGGUCCAGACUCCUACGGGAGGCAGCAGUGGGGAAUAUUGCACAAUGGGCGCAAGCCUGAUGCAGCCAUGCCGCGUGUAUGAAGAAGGCCUUCGGGUUGUAAAGUACUUUCAGCGGGGAGGAAGGGAGUAAAGUUAAUACCUUUGCUCAUUGACGUUACCCGCAGAAGAAGCACCGGCUAACUCCGUG